CAGCAAGAAAGUCAUGAAUAUUAAUGGCUCAUACCUUGGAUGAGGCUCAAAGGCUAAGGGCUACCUGGGAAGGAGGGCGCAGUGGGCCAAAGCUCUCCUCACAUUUCAGCAGACCCCUUCUCCGCUGACCUGAAGAGAUGGCCACACAGAUGGAGAGUGAAGAUGAUAGCUUCUACGACCAUUAAGCCAUUAGCCACAUGGAAGCACUUGGGAAAACCACUAAGGUGACAAAGCCAAUUGGUCCCAAUGGAAGAGAAGAUGCCCUCAAGAGGACCAGAAUCUCACACAUCUGGAUGCCGGACGAAGGGCUGGUUUCUGAAAACUCUUCUGGAAUCCAUUAUUUCUUUGUUUUUUUCAAGCAAAUCACCAAAGUGUUUGUGUUUCAAAUAUUGAAUAUAUAUAUAUAUUUACUAUCUUUCAUAUAUACAUAUUUACAUACAUACACAUAUAUAUUUGUGUAUAUUUAAUAUCCUUAGAGUCUGAUCUAGCAAUCUUCCCUGCAUACUUACAGGAAGCUCCCACAAAACUACAUUUUCUUCAGAGAGGACAUAUCUUUUAUUGGGCUUGUGUCUGUGAUAAUGAUGCAGGUGAAUUUUAUCAUUCCUUUCACCCAACUAGUAAUGAACAAAUUCACUGUGUAUUACUUUGGACUUGAUCUCUGGCAAAACACUACUGGAACAAACAAUUUGAUUUGUCAACACCUUUACAAGGGCUCCUCAAUCAAUGUCACAAAUCCAAAUUUAAACAGCAAAGUACAUUUGACUGCAAGACCCGAGACUGAUUAGAGCUCCGAGUUCAGAGAAUUGCUCCAGACAGGACAGCAAUCAGAUUAUUAACUCCACUUGAAAAUACUCUCUGCUGUCUGGGAUUAGCAUGCAUAUUUUGAUAUAGAUCGAUAAGCAAUCUCCUUUCUAUAAGAAAUGCCUGCAACAUUCAUUUGGCUGAUCAAAGGUAGAUAUCAGCUAGUGGUGACAGCAGCUAUUGUUUCCUACUUUCUUUACAGGAGAGCCUUCAUUUAAAAAAAAAAAACCCUCCAGUUCUUUUUCAGUUAAUGGUGGAAGCCAACAGAGAGUCACAAAAUCUCAUCUCUUUCUCAAUACUGAAAUGCAAUUAGUGGAGGAGGGACUUUAGCCUCUUUUGAGCUAACUUAACCCAUUUCCACUUUGUUCUCUUACACAAAAUGGUGAGUUUCUCCUCCCUGCUUAGGAGGAAUUCCAACCCUUUACUCUGACUUUUCCACUGAUCAUACUGUUUCCUAGGAGCAGACUAUUUACAAGCAUGACAGUCAUUAUUGGCACAUUGUCCCUUAAGACUGCUCACGUCUGCAGCUCUGAGCCUUCCUUUUCCCAAUCAACUAAAUCAGAUUGGGAAUUUGGCAGAUAGGGUGACUUGGUGCCUGGAGGUUGGAAGUUUAUUUAGCCUACUCACAUUCCUCACUCUCUGACUCUCUGUUAGAAUGCCACAUGGUAAAGUAGGUGGGAGUAAUUUCUUAUUUACAUGUUUUCUCUCUACCUCACUAGCCCUCACCCAUUUUCAUGCUCCUUCUACUAUCACCCUGUCCACAAACUGAGUAUCUUUUCAGAUAGUUCAUUCUAUCAUAAUUCCUUGCUUGCCUCAGCUCAAACCUCCCAUUUCCCUAAAUUGUAGCUAUAAAGGGAAAAAUAUCUACCAUGCAUUUCUCUUUCUUCAUCAUUAGUGGACCUAUAAGCAAUAUGCCAAAUAUGGUCACCUUUCCAAACAAGAUUAAGGGCUCUUUGUCUCCAGUUCUUGGGUGGGGGUCAGGGAAUAUUUAGGGGAAUAGGAAUAAUGCCAUGUUUUGAAAUCAAGUAUAAUAGAAGGGAUUUCUGGACUUGGAGUCAAGAGAAUUAGGUUCCAAUAUCAGCUCUGGUGUCUAGUAUCUGUGGAACAAUAGGUAAAUCUCUUUAACCUUUUCAAUUCAAUUUUAUCAUCUUUUUAAUGGGAAAAACAUAGGAUAGAUGUGGGGAAAAUUAUUUGUAAAGCUUAAAGUGAUUGGUAAGCAUAUGUUAUAAUAAUAAUUCUUAUUAUUAUUACAACUAUCAUCAUUAGUACUAUUAUUUGCUAAAUACUUUAUGACAAUCAUGCUGUAACCAUGUGAAUAAAUUAACUUAGCAUACAAGAAUCUAAGUUCUAUAAAGGAUCUUCUAUUGGAUUAACCACAAUAUUUAUGUUUCUAAUAUGGCAAGUCAGAAUCUGAUCCCAGGUUGGGUAUAAGACCAGCUCUCAACCACAUAAAAUAGCUCUAAGACAAGUAGAGAAGAAAAAUUCAGUAACCAAUGAAGAAUAGAUUAGAAUACAAGGAAGUAGAUUGUAGAUCUGGAGCUGGACAAGACUUCAGAGGUCAUAUAAUCCAACUCUUUCAUUUUACACAUAAGAAAACUAAAGCACAGGAAGAUUUAGGGACAUGUUCAGGGUAAUCACAUAAGCAAUAAAUUCCAGAGGCAGAUUUGAACAUAGGUCUUCUGACUAGAGUCAAAUCUCUUUCCACUGUAUCUCAGAUCUAGUGGAGAAAAUUCCCAAUGAAAGGAAAAGCUAUAAUAAUCAAAUCUAUAAAGCACACCCCAAACAAUAAUGCAACAAUGGCAAGAAACUUCAAGAUUUUUCAGACUAAAAAUAAGAAUUAAGAGAAUAUGAAAAGAAGCAAUAAGAGUAGGGAAUAAGGGAUGACUAAAUAUUCUAAAAAUAAAUUAAAAAGGCAAAUAACCAAGAAAGCAGGAAAUGUAGUACAUAGGUUGGAGAUUCUCUCCAAAACCAUUGAGAUUUUUUUUUAAAAAAGGAUAAUUUAUAACUAAACAACCUAAAAGUAGAAGAAAAUUGACAAGAAUGUAAUGGAAAAAAUAAUCUACUUUAAUAAUAUACACAUUCUAUAUAAUUCAAGGUGGCUGGCAUAGAAAGCAGAAUGCAAAGAAAUAAUUAAAUGAUCAUAGUUCUCACAGGAACAGUAGG